UGAUGCAGCACGCCGCGUGAGUGAUGAAGGUUUUCGGAUCGUAAAGCUCUGUCUUUGGGGAAGAUAAUGACGGUACCCAAGGAGGAAGCCACGGCUAACUACGUGCCAGCAGCCGCGGUAAUACGUAGGUGGCGAGCGUUAUCCGGAUUUACUGGGCGUAAAGGGAGCGUAGGCGGAUGAUUAAGUGGGAUGUGAAAUACCCGGGCUCAACUUGGGUGCUGCAUUCCAAACUGGUUAUCUAGAGUGCAGGAGAGGAGAGUGGAAUUCCUAGUGUAGCGGUGAAAUGCGUAGAGAUUAGGAAGAACACCAGUGGCGAAGGCGACUCUCUGGACUGUAACUGACGCUGAGGCUCGAAAGCGUGGGGAGCAAACAGGAUUAGAAACCCCGGUAG
rnacentral:rRNA from 1 species